CAGUCAUGGUGGGACUAACCAAGGCUGGAAUGGCACCAGCUCUGCAGAGUAGCCAGCUGGGACUAUUUGAGAUUCCUCCUGGGCUAUGAGGUCACAAUGGGUGCCUAGCAACCAGGCAAACCCAUCAAGUCCCACCCAAGAGAUCAAUCAUCCAGCCUACAAUAACAAAGUACUAGAUUCAUUUGGACCACACAAUCCACCAGUGACACAUAAGCAAGGCCACAAGAUCCAUUUACAACGAAGUAGAGUGCAAAGUAAUGCGAUCCUCAGGACUCAAAGCAUUUAGAAUCUGGAAUGGACUAAACUCUUACCUUCUGCCACUCUACUCAGAAAAAGGGUUUCCAUGGCUGAACAAGAAUUUACUAGAGAACAAAUUGUACUAGAUGGCUACCUGAAAAUGAUUUCAAAAGCCCUCAAAAGUCACCAGUUCUGAGAUACGUCUCUUCUCUUGACAAGUGGAAGCAAGGGACAAUGGCUUUGACUGUACACCUCAAAUGAAUGGGGCCUUUUAACAGAAACAUUCCUUCACCUCUGCUUAAAGAAUGUCAAGAUAUUAUAUAUGACCAAGAAUUAGUGAUUCCAGCCACCUCUCGGUUUCAUAUUGUUUUGCAAUAACUACAAUUAUUUUUAUACCACUUGCUCUUAUAAUAAAACUAGAAAUGUUCCAAAUAAUCUAAAGAGAAGGGUCAUAAUGGAACUUCAAAUGUCUCUCCUCAAAAUUCACAUUAACCUACAAAUGAGUUAGGGCUCUUUAUUUUAGUUCCACAGAAAUGCCAUCUUCUCAGAGACGCAACUUAUGUUCAGAUACAUAAGUUCAGAGGCACAAAGUGCAGAGACAGCCUGAAGUGUGUCUUAGGUGUAAUGAUGAGAAAGAUUUUUAAGCUUUUAAAAAGGCAUUUUAAUUUCUGUACAUAAAGUGGUUUUUAAACUAGUUUAGCAUUACAUAAAGCCAUGGUUGUACAAGGGCUACACACCCAACCAAAAUCUCUUAUUUAUUCAAUGCCAAUUUUAAGUCACAAUACCCACGCACCCGAACAUCUUAUUCUAGGGACCUCAUCACACUAGAGCUUGGAUCCACUUUAAAUCCAUGUUUGGGAGGAGCCUUUAAACAGAUUAGCCAAAUAGCUCCUGGUCUCACCAAACAACAAACUCCAGAAUUCUGCAGGAGGCAGAAACCGGAUUUGAAGUCGAUCCAUGCUCUGGUGAGAUGAGGCACUAUAAAACAACUCACCAUACCCCCAUUUAAAUCACAAAAAGAAAAAAAAAUAAGCCAUACAAUGCAGUAUAAAAGAUUGACAAUAUCAUCAAGUUUAUUACACAGUUUGCAACCUAUCAGAAAAAGACAAACAAAUUAAAUCACAAAGAACAGGGGUGGAAGAGUCAAAGGGAAAACAAGGCUAUGUUUCUGUCAUUCGUUUCUUUUCUUUUUUUACUUCCAUUAUUUCAAAACAAACUAAAAAAGUCCCAUUUUGUAAAAAGCAACAUUUCCAAUCCAAAUCUUAUCCUUUACAGUUUAAGUUGCCACUCCAUUUUUCUACAUUUACUUUUUUCCUUUAAAAAAUUGAGCUGAAUACCUCUCAAAAGUACAAAAGGAGGUAUUGCAUUACAUUGUGACAUCCUUUGAUUGACACCAUCCAUCCUUAUUUAGGCCACACAACCUCUGUGACACAAGACAGGAUCCUUUUAUGAGGGGGUUUCACCAUGCAGCUGGACAAUCAUGAAUGUAAUAGUUGUGUGGCCAUGUCAGCAAUCCAGGUGCUGGAAGCUACUUAUUCCAGGAUACAGUGUGUUAUCGUAAGCUACUCAGUCUAGGAUGGAGCACGGAAAACAACCCCAUCCUCAAGGGUUUCAUUUCAGAGAUGAAUUUGACCAAAACUCUGUAGCCAUUUCUUUUCCAUAAUACUCCUUAUGUAGAUGUUGAUGGCACUGGCCUGAAGAUGUUGCUGACUCAAAAGCCCUAGCAAUGCCUCUGUCAGUUACACAAAGGUGAUGUGAACUGAGGCUUUUCACUGUCUCAAACUGUAGACUGGGAUGCCAGAAAUCAGUGAGGUAUGCUGCUGCCUGAAGCAAAUUCAUGGAUGAACCCCCUCCAUAGUGAAUUAAAUGUAAAAUGAGGAUGGUGUGUGAGGAAACUUCUGGACCUUAAAUCAACACAUACAUCACACUGAAUUUAAAACUGCUCAGGGUGUACUGUAAGGGAGAACUUCAAGAAAACCCCUCAGUUUGACUUAGACCCCAUUCCACGCUACUGCGUUGGUCAGGUCUCAAUUCACAGCACUUCCUUUGGAACAAGGAAGGUGACACUCUGGGAGGGGUGGUGCCUGGAAACAAGAGGGUUAAGGGAGAAGUUGCAACCAGAGCAGCUACAGUAUAAAACAAAAUAAGGAAUCUAUUAGCAAAUCAUCUGUGGAUAGUGAGUGGACCUGCAUUAGCCAGAGUUCAAUCUAUCUCUUAAGGGAAACUCCACACUGUGAGCAGUUUGACUAACACAGGCCCCUCUACAGGCAGCUAGGUGCCUUGGUUCAGGGACUAAGUGGGGAAAGGAGGCAAGAGAGGUGACUAGAAGCAGCAACCAGCCCACCCUCCAUCCCAGAAGAAAGAGAGGGAGGAAAUACUAUUGUGUCUAAGCUGUAGACAAUGGUGCUAGGGGACAAGACUGAAAGCUGUUUUGGGAAAAAGUUGAGACUUUAGGAGGACUGGAUGCCUUGGUGCCUGAGAAGACAACACAGUGCGGACUGUGGACACAAGCCCCAGUGAGACAAUGGGCAUACAUCUUGUGCUGUGCAGAAGCACCACAUUCUUCCUAUAGAAGAUAAGCCGGAUGGAUUCCUCCUCAACUGCUCUGAGAGAAGAUAUGGUAAGGGAAGAGGCAGGAGACCUCUGUGGGAAGCACCAUUCUUCUUAGGUCCAAGAAUCCAUGGACUGAAGUGGCCCCCUGGUCACAGUGGCUCAGGCAAACUCCCCUCUCAAAGUCCCAAGUCAUUUGAGUUUCUCCAUCAAGCAGCAGCACAGAGAGGGAGGGCUUGGUGCCACAAGAUGGAGUUCUACAGGCGAAGUCACUUCCAAGGGGUCCAGAAAGAGCAGAGGGCAGUGGGGAGGAGUGGGUGGAGAAGCCGCCACCCUUUAAGUCUUGAUUAAGGAGAGGAGAUAACGAGUCCAUAAAAACACCGAAUGCUUCCGAAGCUCCUAAAAAGACAACACAAAGUAGGAAAAAAGAGUAACUUCUAUUGCCCAGUUAAAGACCAUUAUUUAGAAAGGACAAAAGUCUUGGCUAAACCUCGGGACGUCAGCUGAUAUUUCUAAAGGAAAGAAGAGGCAUUCUUUUGUUCGUGGUUAGGGUUCAAAUCCAGGCUCAAUCAUUCAAGCAUACUAAAUAUUAAAAUAUUGCUUUCCCUCAACUGAGCACUCGCCUUUAGCAUAUAGUGGGGGGGGGGAAGUAUUUAGUCAGAUACCACCACCAUAAUUUGCAAAUAAAUUCAUGAAAAAUCAAACAAUGUGAUUUUCUGGAUGUGUUUUCUCAUGUUGUCUCUCAUAGUUGAGGUCUACCUAUGUUAAUCACAGGCCUCUCUAAUCUUGUUAAGUGGGAGAACUUGUACAAUUGGUAUCUGAAUACUACCCCCCCCCCCCCCCCGCACUGUAUAUCACAACAUCUGUUUCCAACCUACAGAAUAAACCUAUUUGUCACAAUAACAAAGGCGAACAAACAAAUUAUGGUGAAUGUUAUGAUUGAGCCUCAUGGCUCUGUUACUGACAGACGUGGGCGUAAGACUCCUCGAGAGUCAGAUACUCUCGAGGAGCGAGAAAGAAAAAGACUGCGAGACAUUUUUGCAGCACCAUCUGACGAAGAGUCUUUUGAGGGGUUUACGGAGAGAAUGGAGGAGGGGCUGGUUAGCUCGGAGGAGGAUGAGAUGGAUUGGACUCGGGUAAGGGAGGAAUUGGGUGCCACUGGUCAUGAUGGGAUAGAAGAUGAAUGGGGACCUUCAGGAUUAGACCCAUGGCUUAGCUGGAGGGAUGGGACGGGAUCCACAGCUGGAGAUGCUGUGGGGCGUAGUCAGAGGUGUUCCAGCUCUGAUGAGGAAAGUGAUGAGGAAACGCCCGGGUUAAGGAGGACAGCUGACAGUGAUGAGGAUUUGUAACUGGCAUAAAAUGGGGCUUGGGAGCAAUUGCAAAUUGCGUUGGGCAAGGUAAUCUGGACGAACGCUUGGGAUCUGUGUGGGACGCUUUCCUGAAGACUGGUGUGUUUUCCUGUGCUGAGACGUAAGUUGUUUUGGAAUUCAGGGUCAGACGGCGGGAGGAAUUGUGUGGGCAUUUGUUUGUGCAAACCUGUGCUUACUCUUAUUAGCUUGACCUUCCGUCGUCUUCUUGACGAACGCCAUCUCCUGUUUUGAAAACUCGGACUGAACUGACCACGGCUUGUCUUCCCCCCUUCUUGGACUUGGAAUCUACAAACGUCUGCUUCUGGCUUUGAACUACGGAAAGGAACUGGGUCUACUCUACUGCUACAAUCCUUGGCUGAUCUGUUCGUGUUGGAAAUCCUGUCUGCUGUGUGUGUGGGAGCGACGCAAGUUACUCUAAGCACAGUGUUGGCAGCAGAGAGGAAUCUGCUGCCAAUUAGUUGCAUUCUUUUGUAUCUUUUGUUCCUCGGCUUUUGUUUUGUUUAUCCCCAGGCUGAAGCAAGCAGUUUGUUUUUACCCGGAUUAAACUCCGGUUUAAUCCGGUUUAUCUUUUGAACGUUUUUCCUUGCCCCUUUUUGCUCCUAAAGGCUAAUACUGCCUGGCCCUUGUAUUUUACGGGCAUUUUUGAGUUCUGUAAUCCAAUAAACUCUGUUAUCUUGAA